AUUUUUAGCACAUGUUCAAAUGAGAUAUGCUUGAGUGUUCGCAAAAACAAUAAUAAAAAAAUCUGAAAAGUGCCAUUGUCCCGGAGUGAUAAUCCUAGGAACGGGUCAUAGCUUUAAAAAAUAAGUUUUAGAUUCAUGCUUUAAUAAUGAUAUUUUUAUUCAAGUAGGUUAUAAUUCUAAUUUAUGUUUGUAAAUAUAUGACUUGAUGCGUUUUAACGGGCAUGCGCGUGAAGUUGAGUUGCCAUGGAAACGGAGGGUCACCAGUGCAGACAGCAAAACUCCGACUCUCCCUGUUUUCACUGCUUUCAGAUCGUUCCAUGCUGAUGCCCUGCUCAGUAGCAGAGUUGAACUGACCAUCAUCUGAACCUGGCAACCGGACACGCAAACACACACGCUCUUUUUUGAUAAUGAAAAUAAAAUUAUUUUGUUUCCUAAUA